AGCUGGAAUAGCUCAGUUGGUUAGAGCGUGUGGCUGUUAACCACAAGGUCGGAGGUUCAAGCCCUCCUUCUAGCGAUUUUUUAACGCGUUA
rnacentral:tRNA from 1 species